rnacentral:rRNA from 1 species
GACGAACGCUGGCGGUGUGCUUAACACAUGCAAGUCGAACGGAAAGGCCCUGCUUUUGUGGGGUGCUCGAGUGGCGAACGGGUGAGUAACACGUGAGUAACCUGCCCUUGACUUUGGGAUAACUUCAGGAAACUGGGGCUAAUACCGGAUAGGAGCUCCUGCUGCAUGGGGGGGGUUGGAAAGUUUCGGCGGUUGGGGAUGGACUCGGGGUUGUUCAGCUUGUUGGUGGGGUAGUGGCUUACCAAGGCUUUGACGGGUAGCCGGCCUGAGAGGGUGACCGGCCGCAUUGGGACUGAGAUGCGGCCCAGACUCCUCCGGGAGGCAGCAGUGGGGAAUGUGGCACUAUGGGCGGAAGCCUGAUGCAGCAACGCCGCGUGCGGGAUGACGGCCUUCGGGUUGUAAACCGCUUUCGCCUGUGACGAAGCGUGAGUGACGGUAAUGGGUAAAGAAGCACCGGCUAACUACGUG